CCCUUCAAGUGCAGAGAGCUGUCCUUUUUUAUACACUUCGAGUGGAGAACAAGUAUGCAAAAAUUGAACAAGAGAGAAUGCAAGAGAUAACUAAAUAGUUUUUUGCUAAAUAAUACUUCGAGUGAAAUACAAAAGGACAAAAGUGAACAAGAGAAAAAACGAGAAAAUAAGAGAAGUAUUCUUGCUAAAUCCAAAUGAACACAAUUUAUACAAAUAAAUUAAAUUCUAUUUAAAAAAUAAAUGUUACUGUGUAACAGUUGUAACGGUCACGUUACAAAAUUAGCUCUUUAAUUAUUAUUAUAAUUAUUUUCCCUCGGUCUCCAUUUAAAUUCUCUAAUUUCUCGUAUAGGACUACUGGGGUGACGUCAUACCUCGGUGAUGGAACGUACUCCACCUGUCGAGAAUGAUUUCGUUUUCUGAGAGAGUUUGACGUUUACCUUGGCGGAGAAGCGCCUCUCGUUCUUUACUUGACUGUUGGCUGUGGUGUCGAAUAGAUAUACCAUAUAGAAUGGCGGAUGAUUUCCUCCAACUUAUUUUAUCACAUAAGAAAUUUAACGUAAAGUAAAAAGUUACCACCAGGGAUUGUCUGGAGUGAGGAGACAUGUGGGUGACAACUCCUGUUGGAGUAUAAAUAGGAAUCAUUCGGUGAGAUCUACUUUUUCAUAGUAAUUUUUUAUGUAUAGCCUUGGGUUUUGUAAUGGAACCUUUGAGAUAUUAGGUUCAUUGUUAAAUUUCUUAGUCAACUCAUUAUUUGGAUUUUAUGUAGAUUAUUUCGAUUAUUGAAUAUUCAUUCAAGGAAAAUUAUAUAUUAAUAUAUUUUUUGGUUAGACAUAACCAAACAUAUGCAAUUCUCAAUUAAUAUUAGAAAUAAUUAUCAUUUCUCUGUAGGUUUUAAAUUUAUUGAACCUCCAAUAUUUUUAUAAAUUCUAUAUAUAUUUUUACAGAUAUUCCCUCAGAUAAAUCAUAUUCAAAUUUCACAUUUAUCAUUAUUUGUUCAUGUGUUCACACUCAAAAUAGUUCAAGGUUACCUGAGAUUAGUUUUUGUUCCAUCUUAAUGAUCGGUUUUUCUAUGUUAAUGCUUCUAAAAAGUUCCUCAAUUAUUUCUUCUUCCCUUUACUUUUUGCUCAUGUUUAAAAUGAGAAAUAAAACUGGGAAUGUUUUUUAGCCAUUUGGGAGAAACCCUACCAUGAAGUCAUAGACCUUAUUUGACCACCUAGAGAAACCACUACAGCCACAGUCAAGUCAUCAUGGGAGUAUGUCUAAAUGGGAGCAAGCUAUGGGAGCGUUCCAGCUCAGUUUUCUUCUUGGCACCUGGACCUACAGGAGUCAUGGGGUCGCACCAUCCUGGUGCAUCAUUUUCUAGGAUGCAACCGCAACCUCGUUUGGGAACAUUUAGUGAGGUGUUGUAGUAACUAUUGGUUUUUUUUAUAUUUCAGACUAUCUGUUAAAUACACUGUUUUUUUUUUCAGAUUUAGGUUACCUCUGGUUUUUUUUGACAUAUUUGUAUAUUAGAUUAUUUGGUUCCCAAACUUUGUAUCUACGGUAACUUCUUGUGCACAGGAAUAAGCCUAGAGAAAAUUAGGUUUUUAAUGCUUUAUUAUUGCUUUGAUAUUGGUUUAUGUAAUUCGGGUAAAUUUAUUUUUUAAUAUUACUAGCUUGUUUCCCAAAUAUUUUACUGUUAUUCGCUUUAUUCCAUUUGUUCGGUUAAUUUAGGUCAUCGUCGGUAUUUAUCUCAACUUCAUUUCUACUUUAGUCAAUUGUAUAUUUAACUUUAUUUAUUCAUUAUUGUAUUUUCCCUUAGUGAGGCUUGGGCCUAUUUAUUUGUAUUAUUUUCAUCUUUGUCGGUUUCAAUUCAGUUGUACGUAGCAGGCGUACUAUAACCAUUUGGUAGAAGACUUAUGUAAUUUUGUACCCUAUAUGUAAGUAAGAGGUACUAAUACCUGUAAUUUUGUAACAGAUAACAUUAUUGUUGUUAUCUUAGAGAUGACUUUUUGUAUAACUUAUGUCAUUUUAGAGUCACAUGAUAUACACUUUGUGUAACUCAGAGAUUGUCAAAAAUCUAGUAGUUAUUUUUAAUAAAUAUGUAUUUAUUUUGUAUAUCAAUUAUUUUAUUAUUCCUUUAUGUUCAUUAUUACAGGUUUAAUAUAUUUAAUAUUGGAAAGCAGUGUAAGAUACCUGGGAAAAUGAUCGAAGAUCAUUUUCAUGGCGCCCAUGAUUAGUUAGUUUUAUUUAUUUUGUUCGGUUUUAGUCAUUAUUCAUCUCCAUUCAUUUUCAGUACAUUAUUCUUAUUUUAUUAUUUCAUCUUCUAGUCAUCAUUACUAUCUAUAUAGAGCUACUGUUCUUCGACAGGCAUGCAAACGAGCCGUAUCCAUCCUCGAGUGUCAAGUUGCUCUCUUGCAUCUAUAGCUAGCCAACUCUAUUCAGUUUGCCUCUGUCUCUUCCCACUUUACUUCUAUCCCUUCUAAUCCCCCUUUCUUCAGUACUACUGCACUUUAGUAGUAUUUUUUAUUUUUUCCUAUUGCGGCUUCUCAACGUAGAAGCCACUUCACCCUAUUCUUUACACACCCCACAUUCUCUUCAUUUUUAUUCCUAUAGUUUAUUAUUUUUUCCUUACUUCUGUUGGAGUAUAUCUUUCUUUUUACUGUCACUCCAACAGAAGUUUUCUUAUUUUUGUUACACUGGCUGCCCAAUGCGUGGUGCCAACCGUUUUAUGGUUCUAAGACAGUAGUUCUUUUAGUUCACUUUCCUCUUAUUGUAAUUUUCUGUAUUAUUACCUUCUUGAUAUCUUUGUAUACAUGUUAUUUCUGAUUUAUUUUUGGUCUUUUUAUUUUUAUUAAUACUAAACAGGUAGACUUAUACUGCUUUCGGUUUUGAUUAGUUUAUUUUUGAUACCUCAUUUUUAGUUUUAGUGGUACAGCUCAUAUUUUAGUUUGAAUUUUGUAUUUUUAUUGGAAACUUAUUUGUGUAUCUAGAAUGAGUAUACAUGACUGACAUUAUGUUCUAUUAGUAUAAAUUUUUAUUCCUUCUACCAAUGGUAGUAUGUUUGCACGUACAAUUAAUUAUUGACUAUAUGCAUGUAUUUUUUUUUCUAGUGUGGUUAUAUUUUACACUUAACUAGAAAUUAUUUUCAGUAUUUAGGUAUUUUAUUUACUUUAUUGAUUUGAUUAUUUAUAUAUUUUGCUGGCAUUUUUGAUUUGUUGGUGUGUCGCUAAUAUUUUCUCCAUAUGUAUAUUUGUCUUACAAACUUUAGAUUAUAUUUUAUAUUUGUUAUUUUUGAUACUUGGGUUGUUUGGUAAGACAGGCACACACCACAAAGCAAUAUCAGUCCAGAACAUUAGCUUCUAUACAUGAUACGUUGAAUUCGCAUGGUUCGGAUGAUUACAGAUGGUCAUCCAAACUAUUUUUCUUUAAUUGGUAGUGUUAAACAUAACAAUUAUAAUUAUUGUAUAGUAAAGUAGUUCCAUUAUCCAUCUCAGUUUCUAGUUUUAUUAUUGUUGAUAAUAAUAUUAUAUCAAUGUGGGUACCAUAAUAUAAUGCUCAUAGAAAUCAGAUACUUUAGGUUGAGAUUUAAACAUAAAUCUUUUAUUAGUUAGAAACAUUGGUACUUUUUCUAUUAAGUUUAGAACAAUCCUCAGAAGAAGAUUAACUUAACAGUGUUGUUCAAGCUAAUCUCUUCUUCUGUUUGUCUUUAGCUUAGCUCAAUCUUUAGUAUGGUUAGAAAUUUUAGUCUAAUUUUUUUUCCAUCUGAUAAUGCAGGUACCUACGUACAUUGCUUGAUUUCAUCUUUGGCUUAGUUUUGAUGACUUUUAUUUAUUACUUAUUAAUUUAAUUAUUAUGUAGUACUUUAUGUAUGAGUUUAUUUUUUUUUUUUGGUAUUAGGUAUGGUGCAUUUUAAUUAUUAUUAUGAGUCAAUAUUAUUAAUUGCUAAUCCUGUCAGUAGGAUUAUCCAAUUAAUAAAAACUUCACUUGUAUUUUUGUCUAGUUUUUGCACACCUAACCCCUAAGUUAGAAGGGUUGUUGAGUAUUAUAGAUUUAUAUAUUUGGAUAGGUGAACUCAUACAAGUACCUACUCUUGGUUAAUAUGGAUAUUAUUAUGGAACUAUAUGUUAUGCACUACAUAUGUCAGAUUACCUAUGUGUUAUAUAUUUUUGAAUAUUUGAUUACCUACUAUUUUUUUUAUAUUAUUUUUAUAUCUAGUUAUGAAUUUGCCAUAUUGGAAAGAUGUGGUUUUUAAUUUGUUAUUGGGUUACUCUAUUAACAUUUGUCUUCAAUAUCUUAAACACUUUAUAAUAAUUUAUAUCCUUCUAUCCUACACACUAUGAUUCUGGAAUUAGAUGUGAGUAUGUAUGGUUUCUUAAGUCUUUUAUUGAUUUCUUCUUGUGGACUAGCCUGUCCUUACUCUGUUAAUGCUAGUGAGUGAGUACGUGGGUUCGAAAUUCAGCAAUUGGCCAUUGCUAUCCGGUUUCGUAAUCUAUGUCCUCAUGGCAGAGUAUGCAGAUGUCUAUUCAUCAUCAGUUCCUAACCAUUCUCCUGUAAUUAGUCCACUUAUUCCAGUUUUUGUUACAAAUUGAUAGGGAGGUUUAUUUAAUUUGUAUUAUGUCUCAUACUUCAUAGUAUGUAUGUGGAACUUUGACUGAUGAGGGAUAAAUAUCCUAGUGUGCACGUAUUCAUCGAUCAAAGCUUUGACUAUACCUAUACAUAGUAGGUUCAUUAAUUCAGUAUUUGGAGUGUUUAGACAAAUGAGUUGUUCAUUUGAGUAUAUUCCCACUUCUUUCCUUAGGCAUUAGUUUUGUUAUUUAGAUUUUGGAACAUUUCCUGAAUAAUUCCACGUAUGUGAGAGCGCAUGAAUCUGCAGUUUUAAUUAAAAUUGGUUGCCCGUUCUCGUCAAUUUUUUUUCCUAUCACUUAUCACAUAUUUUUUUUCCUAUCACUUAUCAUAGUGUCAUAAAACUUAUGAGUUCAUCAUUUAUUCUUUUUCUUUCUUACUUAUUCUUACAUUAUUGGUACUUUAUCUGAGUCUGGUUAUUCUCAUACAUCUGUUGUAGCAACAUGCUAUAGUUCGCGAAUACCAGCACGAAUUAGUUUAUGUAGUUUCUAUAAUAUUUUAGUCAAUACACAUUAGGUAUUUAUCUUACUUUUGAUUUAGUUAGGUUACAUCUCUGUUACUUAGUCUGUUAGCAAUAUUUAUUCUGACUUAUUUUGAUUACUUAGUUUGGACAGGUUCAUAUUACCGGAUGAGGGUGUAUGUAGACCUAAUUUAUUUAUUUUGUGCAGUAUUAGUUACCAUUGGAUCCAAUAAUUUAGUUUAUUUAGUAUUAGUAAGAAUUGGUCCAUAAAUUUGCCUGAUCGUUCUUCUUUGGAUAUACUCCUAUAUAAAUCUGGUGUCCAUUGAUAGUCCGAUUCUGGAUAAGUGUCCGAUUCUUCAUUUAUUUUGUGUAUUUGGUUGGAUAGGUUCGUAUUACCGGAUGUGGGUGUACGUAGACCUGAUCUGUUUAUGUGGAUUAGUAUUGGUGUGAAUUGGUCCAUAAAUUUGCCUGGUCGUUCUUCUUUGGAUAUGCCUUUUAUGAAUCUGGUGUCCACUGAUAGUCCGACUUUGGAUUAAGUGUCCGAUUCCACAUUUAUUUUGGUUAUUGAGUUUUGGAUUCCUUUGGUAUGUUCAGCAUUGGUAUUAUUUGGCAUUAGUGAGAGUUGAUCCAUAAAUCUUCCUGAUUGUUCUUCUCUGGAUAUACUAUUAUGAAUCUGGUGUCCAUUGUUAGUUCAAUUUUGGAUUAAGUGUUCAAUUCUUUACUUAUUUUAGUUACUGAUUUUUUUUACUCACUUUGGUAUAUUUACUUGUGAUAUGGUCCGAAUUGGCUCACACCUUUUCCUGGUUGUUCCGUCCUUGGAUAUACCCUUUAUAAAUCUGACGUCCAUGGAUAGUUCAAUUUUGGUUUUAGUGCCCAAUUCGACACUUAGUAUUAUUACGAACUUUAGUACAAUAUUUAGUUUUGUUUUGAUUUUUAAGCAAUAUUAUGUUAAUAUUUGGUAGCAGAGAGUAACAUAGUAACCUUCUAAUAUGAAUUUGAGUAAUUUAUUUAUUUUUCCUGAUCAUUAGUUUAUGCUUAGUGGUAAUCUUGCGAAUCAACGUGGAUUGUUAGACUAUUGUAAAUUUAGUUGUUAAUAUUUUGAAGUUUAGAAAAAAAAAUUUUAUGGAUAAAAUUUUUUUUCCCGAGUAGAAGGGGAUUGUAACGGUCACGUUACAAAAUUAGCUCUUUAAUUAUUAUUAUAAUUAUUUUCCCUCGGUCUCCAUUUAAAUUCUCUAAUUUCUCGUAUAGGACUACUGGGGUGACGUCAUACCUCGGUGAUGAAACGUACUCCACCUGUCGAGAAUGAUUUCGUUUUCUGAGAGAGUUUGACGUUUACCUUGGCGGAGAAGCGCCUCUCGUUCUUUACUUGACUGUUGGCUGUGGUGUCGAAUAGAUAUACCAUAUAGAAUGGCGGAUGAUUUCCUCCAACUUAUUUUAUCACAUAAGAAAUUUAACGUAAAGUAAAAAGUUACCACCAGGGAUUGUCUGGAGUGAGGAGACAUGUGGGUGACAACUCCUGUUGGAGUAUAAAUAGGAAUCAUUCGCCAUUUGGGAGAAACCCUACCAUGAAGUCAUAGACCUUAUUUGACCACCUAGAGAAACCACUACAGCCACAGUCAAGUCAUCAUGGGAGUAUGUCUAAUUGGGAGCAAGCUAUGGGAGCGUUCCAGCUCAGUUUUCUUCUUGGCACCUGGACCUACAGGAGUCAUGGGGUCGCACCAUCCUGGUGCAUCAUUUUCUAGGAUGCAACCGCAACCUCGUUUGGGAACAUUUAGUGAGGUGUUGUAGUAACUAUUGGUUUUUUUUAUAUUUCAGACUAUCUGUUAAAUACACUGUUUUUUUUUCAGAUUUAGGUUACCUCUGGUUUUUUUUGACAUAUUUGUAUAUUAGAUUAUUUGGUUCCCAAACUUUGUAUCUACGGUAACUUCUUGUGCACAGGAAUAAGCCUAGAGAAAAUUAGGUUUUUAAUGCUUUAUUAUUGCUUUGAUAUUGGUUUAUGUAAUUCGGGUAAAUUUAUUUUUUAAUAUUACUAGCUUGUUUCCCAAAUAUUUUACUGUUAUUCGCUUUAUUCCAUUUGUUCGGUUAAUUUAGGUCAUCGUCGGUAUUUAUCUCAACUUCAUUUCUACUUUAGUCAAUUGUAUAUUUAACUUUAUUUAUUCAUUAUUGUAUUUUCCCUUAGUGAGGCUUGGGCCUAUUUAUUUGUAUUAUUUUCAUCUUUGUCGGUUUCAAUUCAGUUGUACGUAGCAGGCGUACUAUAACCAUUUGGUAGAAGACUUAUGUAAUUUUGUACCCUAUAUGUAAGUAAGAGGUACUAAUACCUGUAAUUUUGUAACAGAUAACAUUAUUGUUGUUAUCUUAGAGAUGACUUUUUGUAUAACUUAUGUCAUUUUAGAGUCACAUGAUAUACACUUUGUGUAACUCAGAGAUUGUCAAAAAUCUAGUAGUUAUUUUUAAUAAAUAUGUAUUUAUUUUGUA